AGUUUCUUCGGAAAUGAGUAUAGUGGCGCACGGGUGAGUAACGCGUGGAUUAUCUACCUAUUGGUACGGGACAACAGUUGGAAACGACUGCUAAUACCGUAUAAGCUGGAAACGGGAAAGGGGGCCUCUUCUUGAAAGCUCUCGCCAGUAGAUGAGUCCGCGUUUCAUUAGCUAGACGGUGGGGUAACGGCCUACCGUGGCAACGAUGAAUAGCAGGCCUGAGAGGGUGGCCUGCCACACUGGGACUGGAACACGGCCCAGACUCCUACGGGAGGCAGCAGUGGGGAAUAUUGCGCAAUGGACGAAAGUCUGACGCAGCGACGCCGCGUGGAGGAUGAAGGUUUUCGGAUCGUAAACUCCUGUCAAGAGGGAAGAAACCUAUUAAGAUUAAUACUCUUGGUAAUUGACGGUACCUCUAGAGGAAGCACCGGCUAAUUCAGUGCCAGCAGCCGCGGUAAUACUGAAGGUGCAAGCGUUAAUCGGAAUCACUGGGCGUAAAGCGCUCGUAGGUGGCUUUGUAAGUCAGGUGUGAAAGCCCACGGCUCAACCGUGGAAUUGCACUUGAUACUGCAUCGCUAGAGUAUAGGAGAGGGAAGUGGAAUUUCUGGUGUAGGAGUGAAAUCCGUAGAGAUCAGAAGGAACACCCGUGGCGAAGGCGACUUCCUGGACUAUUACUGACACUGAGGAGCGAAAGCGUGGGGAGCAAACAGGAUUAGAUACCCUGGUAGUCCACGCCGUAAACGAUGGGUACUAGGUGUUGGGGGCUUGACCCUCGGUGCCGUAGUUAACGCGUUAAGUACCCCGCCUGGGGAGUACGGUCGCAAGGCUGAAACUCAAAGAAAUUGACGGG
rnacentral:rRNA from 1 species